UACGUAGGGUGCAGGCGUUAAUCGGAAUUACUGGGCGUAAAGCGUGCGCAGGCGGUCUUUUAAGCCAGAUGUGAAAUCCCCGGGCUUAACCCGGGAACUGCGUUUGAUACUGUCGAGCUAGAGUGUGGAAGGGGCGAUUGGAAUUCCGUGUGUAGCGGUGAAAUGCGUAGAUAUACGGAGGAACACCAGAGGCGAAGGCGGAUCGCUGGGCCAACACUGACGCUGAGACGCGAAAGCUAGGGGAGCAAACGGG
rnacentral:rRNA from 1 species